rnacentral:tRNA from 1 species
UCCCAGGUGGCUCAGUGGUAAAGAAUCUGCCUGCAAUGCAGGAGACCCAGGUUCGAUCCCUGGGUCAGGAG